rnacentral:rRNA from 1 species
AUUGAACGCUGGCGGCAGGCCUAACACAUGCAAGUCGAGCGGAUGAAGGGAGCUUGCUCCUGGAUUCAGCGGCGGACGGGUGAGUAAUGCCUAGGAAUCUGCCUGGUAGUGGGGGAUAACGUCCGGAAACGGGCGCUAAUACCGCAUACGUCCUGAGGGAGCAAGUGGGGGAUCUUCGGACCUCACGCUAUCAGAUGAGCCUAGGUCGGAGUAGCUAGUUGGUGGGGUAAAGGCCUACCAAGGCGACGAUCCGUAACUGGUCUGAGAGGAUGAUCAGUCACACUGGAACUGAGACACGGUCCAGACUCCUACGGGAGGCAGCAGUGGGGAAUAUUGGAAAAUGGGCGAAAGCCUGAUCCAGCCAUGCCGCGUGUGUGAAGAAGGGCUUCGGAUUGUAAAGCACUUUAAGUUGGGAGGAAGGGCAGUAAGUUAAUACCUUGCUGUUUUGACGUUACCAACAGAAUAAGCACCGGCUAACUUCGU